AGCAAGGAUGACUAAGCCAGCUGCAACAGUGGAGGGCCAGAAGGAGAGCCUCUCAUGGUCACGAAGGGAAAGAACAGCCAGAUACCUUGACAGAAUGAUGGUUUCUUACCAGAGGAAGUGGUGUGUUGUGGGGAGGAAGCAUUGGAAGUCGAGGACCUCCUGAAUCACCCACUCCAUAGCUACUACUUCGCUCCUGCUGUAGAUGUUGUUCCCCACUUUGAAGGUUCUCUGCCGUAUGCUGCUACAGCAUUUGAUUUAUCAGGGAUAAAUUGCCUGAAAGGAGGGAUUGAUGCAGACAAUUUGCCAUUUUCUGUUAAGUCGCAAACAUCAUUCAUCAACAUUACCAGUUAUUACCAGGGAGUCUUUGGAUUCCAAGUGUAAAUGAUUCAAAGUACAAUUUAAGGUAGAUAAUUUCACGAUAGCCCUCAAAGAGAUGAAACAACUUUGGCUUUGAGCCUUGCAAAAAAUGUGUGGGAGAAGUUAAUAGUUAACGCAGCAUUGCAAUGAUGAACUAAUAAUCUACCAAUUGAUCACAUUAAUUUGCUACAAGUCAAUUGGAGAGAAUGAUGAUCAAUAACUGUUAUACAAGAUCAUGAGUUUUAUAAUAUUCUCUUUCUUCGUUGAUUGUGGAACAAAAAUUGGAAUUCAGGCAAGACAUGUUGAGGUGGGAGUUACUCUAAGAGAGCAAUGUGAUUGCCGCCUAAAUAAGAACUACAGUAUACAGGGGACGCAGAUAUAGGCUUUACAGCAAUUACGUUUAGACAUUGACAACAGUACCAGAAAAGCAACAGGAAAGAAGAAGAUGUGGUAGUAGGGCUAUGAGA